ensembl:snRNA U4 U4 spliceosomal RNA
AGCUUUGCACAGUGGCAGUAUCAUAGCCAAUGAGGUUCAUCUGAGGUGCGAUUAUUGCUAAUUGAAAGCUCUUCACAGAUCGAAGAGGUUUCUGUUUACGCCAGUUUGCUAAGAACUUUUGUCAGGCAUGGGUGU